CCUACGGGGCGCAGCAGUGAGGAAUAUUGGUCAAUGGGCGGAAGCCUGAACCAGCCAAGUCGCGUGAGGGAAUAAGGCCCUACGGGUCGUAAACCUCUUUUGCCGGGGAGCAAGGGCCGGGACGAGUCCCGGUCCGGAGAGUACCCGGAGAAAAAGCAUCGGCUAACUCCGUGCCAGCAGCCGCGGUAAUACGGAGGAUGCGAGCGUUAAUCGGAAUUACUGGGCGUAAAGCGCUCGUAGGCGGUAUGUCAAGUCAAGGGGGAAAUCCCCGCGCUCAACGUGGGAACUGCCUUUGAAACUGGCAA
rnacentral:rRNA from 1 species